GACGAACGUUGGCGGCGUGCUUAAUACAUGCAAGUCAACUGAAGCAGUGGUAGCAAUAUCGCUGUGGAGGUGGCGCACGGGUGAGUAACACGUAGGUAAUCUGCCUUCAGGUCUGGCAUAACUCCGGGAAACCGGGGCUAAUAGCAGCUGAUGCAGCGGCUCGACAUCGAGACAGUUGUUAAAGCUAUGGCGCCUGAAGAUGAGCCUGCGUCUGAUUAGCUAGUUGGCGGGGUAACGGCCCACCAAGGCAACGAUCAGUAGCUGGUCUGAGAGGAUGAUCAGCAACACUGGAACUGAGACAAGGUCCAGACUCCUACGGGAGGCAGCAGUAAGGAAUAUUGCUCAAUGGGAGAAAUCCUGAAGCAGCAACGCCGCGUGAGGGACGAAGGGCUUUUGCUUGUAAACCUCUGUAGUGAGAGAAAAAAAUCCCAAUCUGUGGGACAUGAUGGUAUCUCAAAAGUAAGCCCCGGCUAACUACGUG
rnacentral:rRNA from 1 species